rnacentral:rRNA from 1 species
UACGAGGGGGGCAAGCGUUGUUCGGAAUUAUUGGGCGUAAAGCGCGUGUAGGCGGUGAUGCAUGUCGGGUGUGAAAGCCCUCAGCUCAACUGAGGAAAUGCGCCCGAAACUGCAUCGCUGGAGUGCCGGAGAGGAAGGCGGAAUUCCCGGUGUAGAGGUGAAAUUCGUAGAUAUCGGGAGGAACACCAGUGGCGAAGGCGGCCUUCUGGACGGACACUGACGCUGAGACGCGAAAGCGUGGGUAGCAAACAGG